rnacentral:rRNA from 1 species
GGGUUGUGAGGUUAAGCGACUAAGCGUACACGGUGGAUGCCCUGGCAGUCAGAGGCGAUGAAGGACGUGCUAAUCUGCGAUAAGCGUCGGUAAGGUGAUAUGAACCGUUAUAACCGGCGAUUUCCGAAUGGGGAAACCCAGUGUGUUUCGACACACUAUCAUUAACUGAAUCCAUAGGUUAAUGAGGCGAACCGGGGGAACUGAAACAUCUAAGUACCCCGAGGAAAAGAAAUCAACCGAGAUUCCCCCAGUAGCGGCGAGCGAACGGGGAGCAGCCCAGAGCCUGAAUCAGUAUGUGUGUUAGUGGAAGCGUCUGGAAAGGCGCGCGAUACAGGGUGACAGCCCCGUACACAAAAAUGCACAUGCUGUGAGCUCGAUGAGUAGGGCGGGACACGUGGUAUCCUGUCUGAAUAUGGGGGGACCAUCCUCCAAGGCUAAAUACUCCUGACUGACCGAUAGUGAACCAGUACCGUGAGGGAAAGGCGAAAAGAACCCCGGCGAGGGGAGUGAAAAAGAACCUGAAACCGUGUACGUACAAGCAGUGGGAGCACGCUUAGGCGUGUGACUGCGUACCUUUUGUAUAAUGGGUCAGCGACUUAUAUUCUGUAGCAAGGUUAACCGAAUAGGGGAGCCGAAGGGAAACCGAGUCUUAACUGGGCGUUAAGUUGCAGGGUAUAGACCCGAAACCCGGUGAUCUAGCCAUGGGCAGGUUGAAGGUUGGGUAACACUAACUGGAGGACCGAACCGACUAAUGUUGAAAAAUUAGCGGAUGACUUGUGGCUGGGGGUGAAAGGCCAAUCAAACCGGGAGAUAGCUGGUUCUCCCCGAAAGCUAUUUAGGUAGCGCCUCGUGAAUUCAUCUCCGGGGGUAGAGCACUGUUUCGGCAAGGGGGUCAUCCCGACUUACCAACCCGAUGCAAACUGCGAAUACCGGAGAAUGUUAUCACGGGAGACACACGGCGGGUGCUAACGUCCGUCGUGAAGAGGGAAACAACCCAGACCGCCAGCUAAGGUCCCAAAGUCAUGGUUAAGUGGGAAACGAUGUGGGAAGGCCCAGACAGCCAGGAUGUUGGCUUAGAAGCAGCCAUCAUUUAAAGAAAGCGUAAUAGCUCACUGGUCGAGUCGGCCUGCGCGGAAGAUGUAACGGGGCUAAACCAUGCACCGAAGCUGCGGCAGCGACGCUGAUGCGUUGUUGGGUAGGGGAGCGUUCUGUAAGCCUGCGAAGGUGUGCUGUGAGGCAUGCUGGAGGUAUCAGAAGUGCGAAUGCUGACAUAAGUAACGAUAAAGCGGGUGAAAAGCCCGCUCGCCGGAAGACCAAGGGUUCCUGUCCAACGUUAAUCGGGGCAGGGUGAGUCGACCCCUAAGGCGAGGCCGAAAGGCGUAGUCGAUGGGAAACAGGUUAAUAUUCCUGUACUUGGUGUUACUGCGAAGGGGGGACGGAGAAGGCUAUGUUGGCCGGGCGACGGUUGUCCCGGUUUAAGCGUGUAGGCUGGUUUUCCAGGCAAAUCCGGAAAAUCAAGGCUGAGGCGUGAUGACGAGGCACUACGGUGCUGAAGCAACAAAUGCCCUGCUUCCAGGAAAAGCCUCUAAGCAUCAGGUAACAUCAAAUCGUACCCCAAACCGACACAGGUGGUCAGGUAGAGAAUACCAAGGCGCUUGAGAGAACUCGGGUGAAGGAACUAGGCAAAAUGGUGCCGUAACUUCGGGAGAAGGCACGCUGAUAUGUAGGUGAAGUCCCUCGCGGAUGGAGCUGAAAUCAGUCGAAGAUACCAGCUGGCUGCAACUGUUUAUUAAAAACACAGCACUGUGCAAACACGAAAGUGGACGUAUACGGUGUGACGCCUGCCCGGUGC